UGAAUUAUAAUUAGGGUAAACUUCAAAUACCACCCAUAUGAUUUCGUACUUUCUCAUUUUAGUAUUCUGUUGUUUAAAGUAUAUAUCAAGUUAGUGUCCUGUGAUUUUAUUUUAUCUUUUCGUCAGCUUUUUUCUUAAUAUUUCGUUAAAUUAUAUACAAAAAAAAACUUCAAAUAUCCCAUCUAGAUUUAUCGAAUAUUUAUUUUAGUACCCUUUAGUUUUAAUUUUUUCACUGAUUUAACGAAAAAAAUUAAUGGAAUCGGUAAUAAAAAGAUAAAAAUAAAAUCACAGAAUACUAAAUUAAUUUACUUUAAACUAUAGAGUACUAAAGUGAGAAAGUAUAAAAUCACAGGGGUGGCAUGUAAUUGAAGUUUUUUCUUAUAAU
rnacentral:lncRNA from 1 species